rnacentral:misc_RNA from 1 species
GUGAAUCAUCAAAUUUUUGAACGCAAAUUGCACUCUCUUCGAAGAGAAUGCCUGUUUGAGGGUCAGCCUAAAAAAAAUCGACAUAGUCACUGUUGCGCGGUGACAUUCCUCGAAAAUUGAGUCCUCUUAAACCAUUGGGUUUUAAGCGGCUUAAAAUUUUCUUUACGAUUCCACGACCGUCUCUAAG